rnacentral:rRNA from 1 species
CACCUCUAGCAUUUUAAGUAUUAGAGGCAUUGCCUGCCCAGUGACUAUAGUUAAACGGCCGCGGUAUCCUGACCGUGCAAAGGUAGCAUAAUCAUUUGUUCCUUAAUUAGGGACUAGUAUGAACGGCUAGACGAGGGUUCAACUGUCUCUUAUUUUCAAUCAGUGAAAUUGACCUUCCAGUGAAGAGGCUGGAAUAUAAAAAUAAGACGAGAAGACCCUAUGGAGCUUAAAUUAAUAAACUUAAUUUUUACCCUAAUCUCCUAAUGGAAUAAAACAAAAAAUAUAAGCUUAAAAUUUUGGUUGGGGUGACCUCGGAGAACAAAAAAUCCUCCGAAAGAUAUAUUACAUAGACUUACAAGUCAAAGUAACCCAGUUAUCCAAUUGACCCAAAAAUUGAUCAACGGACCAAGUUACCCUAGGGAUAACAGCGCAAUCCUAUUUAAGAGUCCAUAUCGACAAUAGGGUUUACGACCUCGAUGUUGGAUCAGGACAUCCCAAUGGUGCAGAAGCUAUUAAUGGUUCGUUUGUUCAACGAUUAAAGUCCU